GAAAAAAAAUCCAUAUUUCAAUGUAAAAUAAUACUUCCUCAAACAUUCAAAGUGUUGAACCCUACAAAUACAUACAACUUAGCUUAGCUUAAAUUAUUGUACAGAAACACAUAAGGUAGUAGAGAAACUCCCUCAUCAUAAGAACAUAACCACAAGGCUCCUUUCUCCGGAUUGCUCACUGAGAUUAUUGGAAUGCUAGAAGAACUCUUUGCAAGUCUAGAUAAACGACAACUGUUGUUUCCAAAAAAAAGCAAGAAGAAAUCACAAAACAU
rnacentral:lncRNA from 1 species